GAUGAACGCUGGCGGCGUGCCUAACACAUGCAAGUCGAGCGGCAGCGAGGGGUGCUUGCACCCUGUCGGCGAGCGGCGGACGGCUGAGUAACGCGUGGGAACGUGCCCCAAAGUGAGGAAUAACUGCCCGAAAGGGUAGCUAAUACCGCAUAUUAUCUUCGGAUCAAAGGAUAUAUCCGCUUUGGGAGCGGCUCGCGUCGGAUUAGGUAGUUGGUGAGGUAAUGGCUCACCAAGCCGACGAUCCGUAGCUGGUCUGAGAGGAUGACCAGCCAGACUGGAACUGAGACACGGUCCAGACUCCUACGGGAGGCAGCAGUGAGGAAUCUUCCACAAUGGGCGAAAGCCUGAUGGAGCAACGCCGCGUGCAGGACGAAGGCCUUCGGGUUGUAAACUGCUUUUAUAAGUGAGGAAUAUGACGGUAACUUAUGAAUAAGGAUCGGCUAACUACGUG
rnacentral:rRNA from 1 species